AGAGUUUGAUCCUGGCUCAGAUUGAACGCUGGCGGCAUGCCUUACACAUGCAAGUCGAACGGCAGCACGGGGUGGUAACACUCUGGUGGCGAGUGGCGAACGGGUGAGUAAUGCAUCGGAACGUGCCCUGAAGUGGGGGAUAACGUAGCGAAAGUUACGCUAAUACCGCAUAUUCUGUGAGCAGUAAAGCAGGGGAUCGCAAGACCUUGCGCUUUGGGAGCGGCCGAUGUCGGAUUAGCUAGUUGGUGGGGUAAAGGCCUACCAAGGCACGAUCCGUAGCGGGUCUGAGAGGAUGAUCCGCCACACUGGGACUGAGACACGGCCCAGACUCCUACGGGAGGCAGCAGUGGGGAAUUUUGGACAAUGGGCGCAAGCCUGAUCCAGCCAUGCCGCGUGAGUGAAGAAGGCCUUCGGGUUGUAAAGCUCUUUCGGUGGGGAAGAAAUUGCUUAGGUUAAUACCUUAAGUAGAUGACGGUACCCGCAUAAGAAGCACCGGCUAACUACGUGCCAGCAGCCGCGGUAAUACGUAGGGUGCGAGCGUUAAUCGGAAUUACUGGGCGUAAAGCGUGCGCAGGCGGUUGUAUAAGUCAGAUGUGAAAUCCCCGGGCUCAACCUGGGAACUGCAUUUGAGACUGUACGGCUAGAGUGUGGCAGAGGGGGGUGGAAUUCCACGUGUAGCAGUGAAAUGCGUAGAGAUGUGGAGGAACACCGAUGGCGAAGGCAGCCCCCUGGGCCAAUACUGACGCUCAUGCACGAAAGCGUGGGGAGCAAACAGGAUUAGAUACCCUGGUAGUCCACGCCCUAAACGAUGUCAACUAGGUGUUGGAAGGGUUAAACCUUUUAGUGCCGUAGCUAACGCGUGAAGUUGACCGCCUGGGGAGUACGGCCGCAAGGCUAAAACUCAAAGGAAUUGACGGGGACCCGCACAAGCGGUGGAUGAUGUGGAUUAAUUCGAUGCAACGCGAAAAACCUUACCUACCCUUGACAUGUCAGGAAGCCUGGAGAGAUCUGGGCGUGCCCGAAAGGGAGCCUGAACACAGGUGCUGCAUGGCUGUCGUCAGCUCGUGACGUGAGAUGUUGGGUUAAGUCCCGCAACGAGCGCAACCCUUGUCAUUAAUUGCCAUCAUUGAGUUGGGCACUUUAAUGAGACUGCCGGUGACAAACCGGAGGAAGGUGGGGAUGACGUCAAGUCCUCAUGGCCCUUAUGGGUAGGGCUUCACACGUCAUACAAUGGUCGGUCCAGAGGGUUGCCAACCCGCGAGGGGGAGCCAAUCUCAGAAAGCCGAUCGUAGUCCGGAUUGAAGUCUGCAACUCGACUUCAUGAAGU
rnacentral:rRNA from 1 species